CGGGUGAGGAACACGUGGGUAACCUGCCCAUAAGACUGGGAUAACUCCGGGAAACCGGGGCUAAUACCGGAUAACAUUUUGAACCGCAUGGUUCGAAAUUGAAAGGCGGCUUCGGCUGUCACUUAUGGAUGGACCCGCGUCGCAUUAGCUAGGUGGUGAGGUAACGGCUCACCAAGGCAACGAUGCGUAACCGACCUGAGAGGGUGAUCGGCCACACUGGGACUGAGACACGGCCCAGACUCCUACGGGAGGCAGCAGUAGGGAAUCUUCCGCAAUGGACGAAAGUCUGACGGAGCAACGCCGCGUGAGUGAUGAAGGCUUUCGGGUCGUAAAACUCUGUUGUUAGGGAAGAACAAGUGCUAGUUGAAUAAGCUGGCACCUUGACGGUACCUAACCAGAAAGCCACGGCUAACUACGUGCCACCAGCCGCGGUAAUACGUAUGUGGCAAGCGUUAUCCGGAUUUAUUGGGCGUAAAGCGCGCGCAGGUGGUUUCUUAAGUCUGAUGUGAAAGCCCACGGCUCACCCCGUGGAGGGUCAUUGGAAACUGGGAGACUUGAGUGCAGAAGAGGAAAGUGGAAUUCCAUGUGUAGCGGUGAAAUGCGUAGAGAUAUGGAGGACCACCAGUGGCGAAGGCGACUUUCUGGUCUGUAACUGCCCCUGAGGCGCGAAAGCGUGGGGAGCAACCAGGAUUAGAUACCCUGGUAGUCCCCGCCGUAAACGAUGAGUGUUAAGUGUUAGAGGGUUUCCGCCCUUUAGUGCUGAAGUUAACGCAUUAAGCACUCCGCCUGGGGAGUGCGGCCGCAAGGCUGAAACUUCAAGGAAUUGGCGGGGGCCCGCACAAGCGGUGGAGCAUGUGGUUUAAUUAGAAGCAACGAGAAGAACCUUCCCAGGUCUUGACAUCCUGUGACAUCCCUAGAGAUAGGGCUUCUCCUUCGGGAGCAGAGUGACAGGUGGUGCAUGGUUGUCGUCAGCUCGUGUCGUGAGAUGUUGGGUUAAGUCCCGCAACGAGCGCACCCCUUGAUCUUAGUUGCCAUCAUUAAGUUGGGCACUCUAAGGUGACUGCCGGUGACAAACCGGAGGAAGGUGGGGAUGACGUCAAAUCAUCAUGCCCCUUAUGACCUGGGCUACACACGUGCUACAAUGGUCGGUACAAAGAGCUGCAAGACCGCGAGGUGGAGCUAAUCUCAUAAAACCGUUCUCAGUUCGGAUUGUAGGCUGCAACUCGCCU
rnacentral:rRNA from 1 species